CAGUCGCCGCGGGAAUACGUAGGGUGCGAGCGUUGUCCGGAAUUAUCGGGCGUAAAGAGCUUGUAGGCGGUCUGUCGCGUCUGCUGUGAAAACCCGAGGCUCAACCUCGGGCCUGCAGUGGGUACGGGCAGACUAGAGUGCGGUAGGGGAGAACGGAACUCCUGGUGUAGCGGUGGUAUGCGCAGAUAUCAGGAAGAACACCGAUGGCGAAGGCAGUUCUCUGGGCCGUAACUGACGCUGAGAAGCGAAAGCGUGGGGAGCGAACAGGAUUAGAUACCCCAGUAGUCCCUGUCUCUUAUAC
rnacentral:rRNA from 1 species